rnacentral:rRNA from 1 species
AUUGAACGCUGGCGGAAUGCUUUACACAUGCAAGUCGGGCGGCAGCACGGGGGCAACCCUGGUGGCGAGCGGCGAACGGGUGAGUAAUACAUCGGAACGUACCCUGUCGUGGGGGAUAACGAAUCGAAAGAUUCGCUAAUACCGCAUACGACCUGAGGGUGAAAGCGGGGGAUCGCAAGACCUCGCGCGAUAGGAGCGGCCGAUGUCGGAUUAGCUAGUUGGUAGGGUAAAGGCCUACCAAGGCGACGAUCCGUAGCGGGUCUGAGAGGACGGCCCGCCACACUGGGACUGAGACACGGCCCAGACUCCUACGGGAGGCAGCAGUGGGGAAUUUUGGACAAUGGGGGCAACCCUGAUCCAGCCAUUCCGCGUGAGUGAAGAAGGCCUUCGGGUUGUAAAGCUCUUUCGGCAGGAACGAAACGGCGGGCUCUAACAUAGCCUGUCAAUGACGGUACCUGAAGAAGAAGCACCGGCUAACUACGUG